rnacentral:rRNA from 1 species
AGGGCACCACCAGGAGUGGAGCCUGCGGCUUAAUUUGACUCAACACGGGAAAUCUCACCAGGCCCGGACACUGGAAGGAUUGACAGAUUGAGAGCUCUUUCUCGAUUCGGUGGGUGGUGGUGCAUGGCCGUUCUUAGUUGGUGGAGUGAUUUGUCUGGUUAAUUCUGAUAACGAACGAGACUCUGUCCUGCUAAAUAGUUCCCGCGUCCUUUGUUGCGCGGGAAAUUCUUCUUAGAGGGACUGGCGGCGUCUAGCCGCACGAGAUUGAGCAAUAACAGGUCUGUGAUGCCCUUAGAUGUUCUGGGCCACACGCGCGCUACACUGAAGGGAUCAGCGUGUCUUCCCUUCCCGAGAGGGACGGGUAACCCGCUGAACCCCCUUCGUGGUAGGGAUCGGGGCUUGCAAUUAUUCCCCGUGAACCAGGAAUUCCCAGUAAGCGCAAGUCAUAAGCUUGCGUUGAUUACGUCCCUGCCCUUUGUACACACCGCCCGUCGCUACUACCGAUUGAACGUUUUAGUG